AUUGAACGCUGGCGGCAGGCCUAACACAUGCAAGUCGAGCGGAUGAAGGGAGCUUGCUCCUGGAUUCAGCGGCGGACGGGUGAGUAAUGCCUAGGAAUCUGCCUGGUAGUGGGGGAUAACGUCCGGAAACGGGCGCUAAUACCGCAUACGUCCUGAGGGAGAAAGUGGGGGAUCUUCGGACCUCACGCUAUCAGAUGAGCCUAGGUCGGAUUAGCUAGUUGGUGGGGUAAAGGCCUACCAAGGCGACGAUCCGUAACUGGUCUGAGAGGAUGAUCAGUCAAACGGGAACUGGGACCCGGUCCAGACUCCUACGGGAGGCAGCAGUGGGGAAUAUUGGACAAUGGGCGAAAGCCUGAUCCAGCCAUGCCGCGUGUGUGAAGAAGGUCUUCGGAUUGUAAAGCACUUUAAGUUGGGAGGAAGGGAAGUAAGUUAAUACCUUGCUGUUUGGACGUUACCAACAGAAUAAGCACCGGCUAACUUCGU
rnacentral:rRNA from 1 species